UCCCGAUUCGCGAGCCUCUUUCGGGGCAUCGGACGGUCCCGGCACCCGAUUUCGCGGCGUGAAAUCAUGAGCGGCUGCUCGCUUCGUUGUCUCUCGCCUCCCAACCCAGAUGAUCGCUUCUCGGUCUCUCACGAGCUAAUGCCUCUCAAAACAAAACCCCGACCCUAGUUCUUUCAUCUUCUUCGGCCCCGGGAAGAAAACACUCACUCCGAACCUUAAUUUUGCCCUCUGCUUCGAAUCACGCCGUUCCGGAAGGUUUCUUGGUUCUCGGUCACCACUAUCUUCUUUCUGAAAUUUCCACACAGUCGAUCGUCUAUGGAAGGUUGUAUCUACGCCUGCCGCUCUUUCUAAUCCUUUGUGCCGUCUCCAGGUUCCAACCAUUCAGGGUCAAGGAUGGGCCAAAUGUGAUGGAUCGAUGUAAGAAGCAGAAAGCAAUUAUGCCUAUAUGGAGGCCAAUCUCCACACAGUCAGGUUGCAGUUGAUUGCAGUGGAAGGUCUGAUGUUCAAUAUGAAGUCCAAGAAGUAUGCAAUAAUGCAUCCUCCUGUAUGGAUGAUGUUCAAAAUGUUGCGCAGGAUGAACGAAAUUCGGGCAUUCCUACAUCAUUAACAGAAAGCACUAAUGUGGUAAAUAGUGAUAAACAAUCUGAAUUUACAUAAGGAAAACGAUCUGUUUUGCUUUCAUCUAAGAUAGAGGAUGCGCCUGGGAGACGUACCUGUGAAACUGACUUCAAGUCCAAUGAGGCCAUCUACCAGAAAGAAGGUACAGAGGAAACUCUACAGGAAGUAAGCUCCAACAAUGAUGCAGAAUCAGGCUGUGGAGUUGAGAAACAUUUGAUCUCUGUUGAGGUUUAUUCGUGCAAAUAUCAUUCUCAUUUUUUGAAGGAAAGCUUAAGUUUCAUUAUUCGUUUCUUGUGAACAAAUAUACUGGCAUCUUUUGCCUGGAUAUAUCUGCAAGGUUUAUUUAGCCACAAUCAAAUAUCUUUCAACGGUGUUUUACUUACACAUCCAGUUGGUGGAACAUAACCGUCUAUAUGUAUUAGCAUUGAGGACUGAUUCCAAUAAUGUUAAAACUUGUCUAGGAGUAGAUUAUGAACUUCAAAAUGAGGCUAAGGUCUAAAAUCAUCUGAUGCCAUAUUGCUACAGACCUGUGGUCUUGAAAGAAGAACCACAUUCACUGUAAAGCAUAUAAUUUUUCACAAACUGCUCCAAUCCCAUAAUCAUUUUCUUUUGCAUCCCUGCAAGAUGAGUGCGGAUUACAAUCAAUAAAUUGUCACACGGAUAGCUAUAAUGUUUCAAAAAUCUUUUUUUGGUUUGAAUCAGGGAGAAGUAAGAGAGAUCUUGAUUGUGGCUUGAUUCGCAAAAGAUAAGGUGUAAAACUUUGAGAAGAUAAGGUGUAAAACUUUGAGGCCAACCAGCUGUAAAGUUGUAGUGACCAUAGCACUGUGCACUUGUAUGGGCAACAGUUUGUUCUCGAGGGCAUUAAUCAAUGAGAUAAAAAUAAGGUGUGUGAUCAGGUAAGGAUGGUUGGUAAUCCAUGUUUCAAUGUGGUUCUUAAGAGUAAAACAUGCCGAAGAACUUCUGAAGAAAUGAAAAUCAAUCUCUCUGUAUUAGAUAAAUCUAACCAUAAACAUAAGAUUUAAUAUUUGAAGAAUAUUAGGUAUAUCGAUAUAUGUUUCUAUUGAUCAGCAUCGUUGCUAUGUAUGCUUAGAUUUGUCCUUCAGCAAAGAGACCAAUACAUUAUUAUUCAUAUGAUAUUGGCGAAUGCUUGAUAAAUAUUUCUUUAUCUAUCAGCAACAUUGUCUAAUUGCAAUUCCAAGCAUGAAGUGCUUUGUUAGACUUUCUCGAGUUUAAACAAGCACAUGGCAUAUCUCCUUGAAUGGAUCAUAGACUUUGUCUGAAACCCAUCACUUUGAUGUAAUGGCAAUCAUGAGGGUAAUAACUGUUCUCUUAUGAAUCCCAUUUUAAGAAUGUCACCAAAGACAUGUUUUGUAACUUAUUUGGCACUAUUUAAGAACAGCGCAUUGCCAUUGGAUGAAAGCACUUAGUAGGAUUAAAUGGUUAUAAAGUACUCUGGGCAGGUUAUUUCUAGUAUAAAGUUUAUGUUUGCUUCUUCAUUAAUUGCUUCUGUUUAUUACUAAUUAACUCUCCAUCUUACCUGAGAGAAAUUAUUCUUCAAGCAUCAAAUAUACUGCUUUGAGCAUUAUUUUUGUUUAUGCUUACUAUAAAUUUCUAUGAUUUAUGAAUAGAAGCUCCUUUCAAUUUCAUUACUAACAUACUAAUUGAUUCAAAAAAAAAUUUCAAGCAAGAUAGUUUGAUUGCAGACAUGCAUGAAAGGUUCACCAGCUAAAGCCUGUGUUGUUUAUGCUCCUGUUGUGGAAAUUGGCGGAGAGGAAUGCUUGUUACGUGCUUGUUAAGUCAUUAUCGAUCCUUAUGUUGAAGCAGGUCUUGUUCUUGAAAAGGAUGCUCAUUAAACAUUGAAGUGGUAAAAGGCUUGGGUUGACAAAUGCAAUGACAUGGGUUUGAGUCCUGGGACAACCACUUUGUGCCAAAAAAAAAGCCAAAAUAGGUCUGUCCCCGGGUUGCCUCUCCCAUUACCAUAGAUUGCUGGUAUCUUAUAAGGCAGCAUGCUUAAAUCGAUCCUUACAGCACAUAUCUCUGAUCCCAUCUCAAACCCUUUUGGCAUCACACUUUCAAAACCUACAUUGGUUCAUUGUAUUAUCACAUCAUAUUCUGAAUAAGGAUGUGUUAUAAGAACACCUAAUAUAUAUGCAUGUACAAAACCAUGUAUUUUUAUCUGUAUGUAUGCUGGGUUUUCUGUCUCCCCUCUGGCUAGAUUGGGACUUGGGAUCUUUUCGAGAUUUUGUUUUGUUUCUGUAUUUUUCUAUCUUAAGAAGUGCAUCAAGCUCAAGGUUUGAUGGAAUAAUCAGAUUAUUGAUCUUUGUGAAAGCUCAAUUCUGCAGAUGCGAUACAUUUGAGUUUCUUCAGUGUAUGAGGGUUUAUGCAGCACUGGCAAACAAUUUCUAAUCUAAUUGCUGCAAUUUGUUCUGUUUGAACAAGUUCAGUUAUCAGUAUUUGCAAGCUAAUCUUGUGCAAUUAUCAAUUGCAUGUUCACAUGUUUGGAGCCAUUUAUUCAUCAUCACAUUUAUAAUCAAUAAAUUGCAGUUUAUUCCUUAAAACAAUUAAGUGUUGCCAUAAUAGCAUAAGAAAGUGAGGCUUGUGUGGCGACAUGUAUUGAAAGACCGCCAAGAAUAUGGUUUGCAAAGCUCUGCAUCCUUUCUUACUAAUGAAACUGCUUCGUGCCUUGCUGAAUUGCAGCUGCACGCCACCUCGAUGAAUGUGAGUCACAGAAAGAGGAAGAGGACUGGAAGAUAUGAUUCCUUUGAUGCAUGGCACAUCUUCAAGGUACAUGGGUCAAAAGAUUGGGGUGAGUAUCACAUCCGAGAAGUGCAUUUUUCUCAGAGGUUCAAAUUUGAUGAAAGUGGAUAUUAUCAUUGCUGUGCUUUGAUUCCUUUACCUGAGAACUUGCAAACAGAAUAAUUUCCAUCCUCUGGAUUCAUAUAUUCAGAAUGGGACCAUUGGUACAUGUGGUGAUACUGCUCACACUGCAGACAUGCAUUCCUAAUUUGAGGUUCUUUUGCAAUUCUUCUAACCAAUUAGGUGCCGAUUCAUGCUAUCUGCACAUCAGAUGUUUGUUCCAUGCAAAUUUUUAAUCGUUCAUUAUAAUACUGGCCAGUUACCCUGUCAGAAUAAGAACGAAAAAGACCGCGAAGUUUUUAUCAAUAAUUUAUUUUCCAACACUGCCAUUGUUGAUAAUGAAUGUUCACUUUUAUUUUUCUCAUUAAGUAAUAUGAAUCUAUAUUUAUUUAUUGUCA